rnacentral:miRNA from 1 species
CGACGGGCUGUGUGUGCGUGCUA